UGGGGAAUAUUGGACAAUGGGGGAAACCCUGAUCCAGCCAUGCCGCGUGAGUGAUGAAGGCCUUAGGGUUGUAAAGCUCUUUCGCUGGGGAAGAUAAUGACGGUACCCAGUAAAGAAGCCCCGGCUAACUUCGUGCCAGCAGCCGCGGUAAUACGAAGGGGGCUAGCGUUGUUCGGAAUUACUGGGCGUAAAGCGCACGUAGGCGGGUAUUUAAGUCAGGGGUGAAGUCCCGGAGCUCUACUCCGGAACUGCCUUUGAUACUGGAUACCUUGAGUUCGAGAGAGGUGAGUGGAAGUCCGAGUGUAGAGGUGAAAUUCGUAGAUAUUCGGAGGAACACCAGUGGAGAAGGCGGCUCACUGGCGCGAUACUGACGCUGAGGUGCGAAAGUGUGGGGAGCAAACAGGAUUAGAUACCCCCGUAGUCC
rnacentral:rRNA from 1 species